rnacentral:rRNA from 1 species
AUGAGCAUAUUUGCGUUGCUCUUCUAUAGAAGCAUGUUCGGUGCUGUGUUCACCCUUCCCUUUGCUCUUUACUUUGAAAGUGGCAAGUGGAAGGAGGUGAAUACAAAAACUGUUGGGUGGCUCUUCUUAAACGCGCUUUCUGGGUACUCGUUACCAAUGGCGUUUUAUUACUACGGAUUGCGGAACACAGCAGCCUCAUAUGCGGUGAUUUUCUCGAGUAUCACCCCGCUAGUCACGUUUGUUCUCUCGAUAUUGAUCGGCAUAGAGCAGUUGAACAUCAAAUCAAAGAGUGGCAGUGCAAAAGUGCUUGGAGCACUUUUCUGUUUCACUGGGGCUUUACUUAUUAGUCUCUACACUGGAAAAGAGCUCCAUCGAGGGAGGCUGGUUAUAAGUGUGUCCCCUAAAGGUUCUAAUGCAGCUUCUGGAGAGAAUCAUUUGAGGGGCACACUACUAAUGUUGAGUUUUGGCCUCAGUUACGCAACUUGGUACCCUAUCCAGGUGAAAGUUCUGAAGGUCUGUCCGUGGAAGCAUUGGUCAUCUGUGCUGACCUGCAUUCUUGGCGGUGUGCAACCUCUUGUCGUUGGCAUAACAAUUACACGGGACAAAAGUGCCUGGCAGAUGAAAUGGAACAUCCAAUUGCUAACUAUCAUUUAUUCAGCUGCGCUUGGCACAGCAGUCAAGUACUGGCUCAACCUGUAUGCCGUCGAAAAGAAGGGACCGGUUUUCCCACCUAUGUUCAGCGUUCUAUCGACAGUCUUCACCAUAAUUUUGGGAAUAUUGUUGCUAGGAGAAAGUCUCACCCUUGGGAGUUUGCUGGGUACUGCUUUAGUAUUCGGUGGUCUUUACACAUAUCUUUAUGGCAAGGCAAAUGAAAAACACGCUGAGACGACGCCAGCUCCAGGUCUGUAA